rnacentral:rRNA from 1 species
UCUGGCGGCUUUAGCGCGGUGGUCCCACCUGACCCCAUGCCGAACUCAGAAGUGAAACGCCGUAGCGCCGAUGGUAGUGUGGGGUCUCCCCAUGUGAGAGCAGGGAACUGCCAGAC